AGGACGAACGCUGGCGGCGCGCUUAAUACAUGCAAGUCGAGCGGAAAGGCCCUUCGGGGUACUCGAGCGGCGAACGGGUGAGUAACACGUGAGUAAUCUGCCCCUAGCUCUGGGAUAGCUCCGGGAAACCGGGAUUAAUACCGGAUACGACCACCUUAGACAUCUUUUGUGGUGGAAAGAAUUUCGGCUAGGGAUGAGCUCGCGGCCUAUCAGCUUGUUGGUGGGGUAACGGCCUACCAAGGCGACGACGGGUA
rnacentral:rRNA from 1 species